rnacentral:tRNA from 5 species
GCCGACGUAGCUCAACGGUUAGAGCGGAGCCCUCAUAAAGCUCAGGUUACAGGUUCGAUUCCUGUCGUCGGCA